rnacentral:rRNA from 1 species
UAAAAGCCAUAAAUUUUGGCUCUUCUCUAUCAACUGGUAUGAUAAUUAUCUAUGCCUGUAAAAUGGAGAAGUAAAGCCCUGUAAUUUAUGUUGACCUCAAAUCAGGUAGGAUUACCCGCUGAACUUAAGCAUAUCAAUAAGCGGAGGAAAAGAAACUAACAAGGAUUCCCUUAGUAACUGCGAGUGAAGUGGGAAAAGCUCAAAUUUAAAAUCUGGCAGUCUUUGGCUGUCUGAGUUGUAAUCUAGAGAAGUGUUGCCUGCAUUGGACCGUGUACAAGUCUUCUGGAAUGAAGCGUCAUAGAGGGUGAGAAUCCCGUCUUUGACAUGGACUCCCAAUGUAUUGUGGCAUGCUCUCAAAGAGUCGAGUUGUUUGGGAAUGCAGCUCUAAAUGGGUGGUAACCUCCAUCUAAAGCUAAAUAUUGGCAAGAGACCGAUAGUGAACAAGUACCGUGAGGGAAAGAUGAAAAGAACUUUGGAAAGAGAGUUAAACAGUACGUGAAAUUGUUGAAAGGGAAACACUUGAAGUCAGUUGCAUUGGCCAGGGAUCAGCCUAGCUCUUUUGCUUAGUGUACUUCCUGGUUGAUGGGCCAACAUGAGUUUUGACUGGCAGAGAAGGGCAGAGGGAAUGUGGCACCUCUGGGUGUGUUUAUAGCCUUCUGUCACAUAUGUCAGUUGGGACUGAGGGAUGCAGCAUGCCGCAAGGCCAGGUCAUUUUUGACCAUGUUCAUGCUUUGGAUGUUGGCAUAAUGGCUUUAAUUGACCCGUCU